CCUCCAGCCUGGAUUUCUCCCCUGCAGGGGCAGCUGAGGGUCUCAUGGAACCAAAGGACUGCUGGGACACUUGGGGAACUCACAAAAUCAAGCGACCGUCGUGACACUGCCCUGCAUCAUGGAAGCAAAUGUUCCCUGGGAAAUUACAGAAAACCAGGGAAUUAAGGGACAUCAUUGAAUUAAACAAACCCUGGGAUAUCUUUGGAACUUCAUGGAAUCAAAGGGAUAAAACGAAAGAAUUAAACCCAAUGACCAGAAA